rnacentral:rRNA from 1 species
UACAUGAAGUCAGACAAGUGAACCCCUGAACUUAAGCAU